CGCGAUCUCAGCUGACUGCAACCUCCUCCUCCCAGGUUGCCUAUAAUGCUUUACAAUUAUGAAGGAUAAUGCUACCAGGAAUAUCUUCAUCUGUGUGGCUUUUUCAUGGUCUGAAGCAUUCCUUCAAGAUCCAUGCUCUGAUAUUGUGAGACUGCCAGGAGCUUUGAUACACUGCACCAAACUGUUUGACCAGAGUUGAAGCAUUUAAUAAGGAUCCCGACAACAAACAAAACAGCCAGCUAGCACACUAAGGCCAGGAGCCUAUUUUGCUCAUCCUGUAUUUAAAUAUAAUAUAUUGUACUUCUGA
rnacentral:lncRNA from 1 species